rnacentral:rRNA from 1 species
UACGAACUGUGCGAACGUUAUUCGGAAUCACUGGGCGUACAGGGUGCGUAGGCGGCUUGGUAAGUAGGGUGUGAAAGCCCCGGCUCAACCGGGGAAUUGCGCCCUAAACUGGCGAGCUGGAGUGAGAUAGGGGUGUGUGGAACUUCCGGUGGAGCGGUGAAAUGUGUUGAUAUCGGAAGGAACGCCGGUGGCGAAAGCGACACACUGGAUCUUGUCUGACGCUGAGGCACGAAGGUCAGGGGAGCAAACGGG